AUACGGAGGGUGCAAGCGUUAUCCGGAUUUAUUGGGUUUAAAGGGUCCGUAGGCGGACUAUUAAGUCAGAGGUGAAAUCCCACAGCUCAACUGUGGAACUGCCUUUGAUACUGGUAGUCUUGAGUUAUAUGGAAGUAGAUAGAAUGUGUAGUGUAGCGGUGAAAUGCAUAGAUAUUACACAGAAUACCGAUUGCGAAGGCAGUCUACUACGUAUAUACUGACGCUAAGGGACGAAAGCGUGGGGAGCGAACAGGAUUAGAAACCCUAGUAGUCC
rnacentral:rRNA from 1 species